UGCCAGCCGCCGCGGUAAUACGGGGGGUGCAAGCGUUGUUCGGAAUUAUUGGGCGUAAAGGGUGCGUAGGCGGGUUCUUAAGUCUGAUGUGAAAUCCCUCGGCUCAACCAAGGACGUGCAUUGGAUACUGGGAACCUUGAGUCCUGGAGAGGAAAGCGGAAUUCCAAGUGUAGAGGUGAAAUUCGUAGAUAUUUGGAGGAACACCAGUGGCGAAGGCGGCUUUCUGGAUCAUUACUGACACUGAGGAACGAAAGCAUGGGUAGCGAAGAGGAUUAGAUA
rnacentral:rRNA from 1 species